AUCCAACCGAUGAGUCUCAAAUAGGACGAAACGCAUGUCCUGGAU
rnacentral:hammerhead_ribozyme from 1 species